rnacentral:lncRNA from 1 species
CAAUUGUCUGACUCAACAAUAGGAAUAAAAUACUGAAAAUAAAAACAUAAUAAAAAUGAUGGGUUGCCUCCCACCAAACGCUUUCUUUUACGUCACUGAGCUUGACGCUUCGACCACUGUUAGGGUGGCAAAUAUGAUAGAAAGAAUAUAUCAUCCUUCUUCUUCCUCUUGUUUGGUAGGAAUUCCAUGAAUUUGGCACAAAGCAGUAGAUGCUCCCAUGCUCCAGCCACUAAAUCUUUGUCAUUUGAGCUCUCCCACCUUAAAGAAGGACAUGCAUCUAUUUGCAUAAGAGUGAUUUCCUUAACCUCCGUUGAUCCAGACUUCGAGAAAAUAUCAACACUCCUCACCUUGCGAUUUUCUUCGACCACAACCUUGUGACACUCAGUCUCCAUCUGAACCAACUUCCUCUGAGACUCAUGUGCUUUCUCAACAAGAUCACCACACUGAACAUCAAACUUCUCAAAUGAAACUUGAUUUGACACCAAAAAAUCAUCUAAAAUAUUUUGAAGUUGAGUAUUGUAAU